UCAAUUAUCCUCCCCCACUAAAAAUUGCAUUAAUUUCAACGUUCCUUUUAUUUUUAGAAUUUUACUGGAUUACUAUCGAUAAUAAAUGGCUAGACUUACUAUCAAUUUACUUUUGAUUAUACAGCAUCCAAAUCGACGAUUGACACUAUUCAACAUGAUCUAAACCAUUCACAAUAACUAGAAAUCAAAUUUCAUACUUUCUGACAUCAAUAACUAAAUGAUCAAAAAGUCAUAAAUUUUGUAAUUUUAAUAAUCAAUAUAGUAUAUUUACUCAUUUGACGGUAUAGAAGAGAUUAAUACGUUGAAUUUUUGUUAGAAAGUUUUUAAAACUAUUUUAAAUAAGAUCUUCACUCGAGAUCUUACAUACAACAAUCAUAUCAUUACUUUUUGGAGGAUAUUCGUUUAAAGAAAUAAUAUUUAACAGAAUACGAAAUUUGAUUUCUAGAUAGUUUAAAUAGUGUAGAUUAUGUUCAACAGUACUGGUCGUCGAUUUGAAAGUUCUAUCAUCGAUUUGAAAGUUCUAUCAUCGAAAAUAAAUCGUUAAUAUACUGAGCUGUUUACUACCAAUAGUAGCGGGGCAAAACUCUUAUUUCUAACUCAAAUAAA
rnacentral:lncRNA from 1 species